UCCCGCUUUAUUUUUCAUUUCUUUCUCAAUACAAUUUAGAGAAAAGAAACCCUAUUUUGUCAAACCCCUUUCAUCUUUCUCUCACCCUUUCUGAUCACCUUCUUCUCCCAAAAAUAAUCUUCAGCCGCAACCUCUCUCAACCUCUCACAUUCUUACAUUCAGGAAGAGGGAAUGAAGGGUAUUAUGGUCAUCUUCCUGCAGUUGCAAUCAGCGAUGGGUAGCAUUUUAAUUGUAAAACUUGCAGGUUUUUCUUCUUAUCUCCUUCUCCAAUCAGUCAACAACGAACAAAAGAAAGAAAUAGUGAUAUUCUGAUUAGAGAAAGUUUGGCCUUAGCAUUUGUCAUAUUGCAUAUUGUAAAACUUUAACUUGACACAUAUGGUCAUGUCAUCGACCCAAAACACUUGUAUCGAGAAGAGUGGGAAAGAAAAUUUGUGGCCCAAAUUACGGUGAUUUAUGUUAAGAAAGUAACCCUCUGCUGCUCUUACGCCUCUCUAACGUUUCCGUCAUUUGAGUAUUUCCCGGAUAAGGAUUUCAAGGGUGAAUCUUUCUUUUCCAUGGUAUUUUUUUUCAGUUCAAUGGUUUUUUUUUCGUGUUUUGGGUUUGUAUAUAUUAUGCAGAAGAGCUUGUUUAUUUUAAUUAAUACAAGUUAAAUUAAAUGUUUGUUUUGGUAUAUUGGGUUUGUAUUAUGCUUAGAGGAGUGAAUUGAGCAAUUUAUAAUCUUGUUUCUUAAUAAUAUGUUAAAAAAACAUAAAAUCGACACCUUCUUUUGCAGAAUAUAAGUAGUACCAUUUGAAAAUCUUUGAUUACUGAUAUAUUAAUUGUAAAAUUGUUAAUGGUUGUGGGUUUUGAUUUUGGUAUGUAUAAACUAGGCAUUUGCCGUGUUAAGAUAUGGAAAUUGCAUUAGAUAUUCUUUUUUGAAAAAUCUAAUUGUUGUUUUGAUUUGGUAUAUAAUUUGUUGGUUUCAAUAGUAAAGGGUAUGGCUUAAUGUCAAAGCAGUAGAAUAAUUGUUAAGAGGUUGAGGUCGACAAGCCUUUAGGCCUCACUUUCGGUCAAAAGCAAGGUGGUCUCACUCAGGCAAGUAAAUCAUUAUUUCUCUCUGCUUUCUAUUUACUUAUGUUUACCAGUAAAACUAUGGAAAAAAAGAAGUAGAAAGAAAAUCUAGGAAGCUUUGUUCCCAUUUUUGGUCAAUUCCUUCUGCAAGCAAGUCUUAUAGUUGGUGUUGUGCAUUGACUUGGGUCUUAAUAUGUUUGAGUGAUUCAUAUAAUACCAACUAGUUUCAAUGGUAUUUGUUGACAAAAUGUGGCUGCAUUCAAGGCUGGCAAUUUUCUUUGAAAGUUUCAAGUUUGUAUCAAACAAUAUAUUAGUUUUUCUUUUUGGGCCUCGUUUUUUUAGUAUAAAUAAUUAUUAAAAGUUAAAGCCUUAGGCAAUGCUAGAUGAUAUAACAGAACAAGCAUAAUGGAUAUUCUUUGGCUGCCUUCAAUGAUCACAUGCUUUCCAUGGAACAAAUCCUACAUAUUAUAUGAUUAGCCAAUUAACUUUAUGGUUUUUGUACGUGAUAUGCGGCAUAGUGAGGACACAGAUGAAAGAGUUCCAUGUUACAUUAAGACCAUGGUACUACCAAAAGUAGGUAACUUUUUAUUUAUUAGCUAGAAUGGUAAAAAAAAGAGAGAAAAGUGCUUAAGUAGGAACUCCUACAUAUUAUAGUACCACUAAUUUUAUGUUUGAUCACAUCCUAUAAAUAUAUAUUGAUAUGCUCAUAUAGUACUAUUUGUAUAUUUAUAUGCUCAUAUAAUGCUAUUUAUUUUCUAUAUCUUUUUUCUAUAAUAAUGCUUUGAUUUGUUAGAAUAUAUUAUAAGAAAUAUAAUAUAUAUAUAUAUAUGUAUAAGUAAUAUAUGCCAAGAUACAAAUGUCAAUUAUUUUAAUCCUCUUAUUUUACAUUUAUCUUAUUUCUCAAACUUCUUGUGUUAUUUCAGGGCAUAGAUUGUUAAUAUAAACAUUGUGCGAUUAUUAGGCUUAACUUGUGAAUAUAGACACCAAAGGGAUUUGAAGGAUCUUUUGCAGAAGUUAGAUCCUCGGCCAAGGAAUGCAUAAGGAUCCCAAUAUCAUUUUUUAGACAUUUGCUAUUUUUUAUGGAAAAUAGAAACUUAAUAAAUAAAUUUGGGAUGAUCACUAAUUUCUUUUUUGGUUAUAUUUUUUUAUAUUGGGAAUUAUUGUACUGAAGCUAAUGAAUGAGUUUUGAUUUGGACGUAUAUGGUUUUACUGAUUUCACACAUUCAUUUUUUUUCUUUAAUAGUGACUUACAUAAUUACAUUAAAGUUUUGAUUUGGACAUUUCAAUGAUCAAUUUUCCUUUGCUCUGUUUUGACGAGUUGUUAGAGAAGUAUUGAUUCUUUCAAUUUUUUGCAGCUGUUUUGUGUUUUUGGUUUCUUGAAACAUAUGAUGAGUUUUCCUUAUGGGUGUUUAGAAUUUUUUUAUUUCUUGUAGUUGGAGAACACGUGUUUCUUUCGAAAGUUUCAAGAUUUUUUUUAGUUACUUGAAAUCAUUUCUAGGUGUUUUUGUAUGCAUGGGAUUCUGGGUCACUAUUUCCUUUUUGCUUAUAGUUUAUUCAAUCACUUGGAUUUGGUUAAAUUUGUUUAACUGAUAUGAUUGAGUGAUGUAAUUCAAUCUCUAAAGUCCAAACAACUUCUCACAAUUCUUAUUCUCUUUAAAAGUUACAAAUGCUAAAUUGAGUCAGAGGGAUCUAGAAUUGUACUUAAACAUAGUUCAUGGGUACAUGAAAAUAAAUACAAGUAAUUUCUGAUAAUGUAUAGACAGAGGGAUCGAGUGUAUAUUUUUCAUUGAAGAUUUCAUUUUCUAUUAGGCAUUAUUUAUUUGGAAUUGUAUUGGAGGUGAUUACUUCUCUAGUAAUUGCACCUAUUUUGAACUGAGAUGGUUUUAGAAAAAAAUUAAACAUAUAAUUCUCAUUUUUGUUUCUAUAUUCUUGCAGUAGAGCAGUAAUAUAGGACUCAAAACUAUGUUUAUAAAUUUGUUUAUUUCAUGAAUUAUAAUUCUUGUGAGAGAUACUAUAUUAAGUUCAGUUUAUGUAUCACCUCUACCCUUGGAUUAUGCUAUUUUUUCUAUUAUCACUAGGCAACAAAUUUCUUUUAUCAACUCUAUGUAACAGAGCAUAUGUAAAUUUUACUAUAAUUGAUUAUAUUGAGUCAUUUAUAGAGAUUUUAAUGCAAUGGUUUCUUAUAUACCUGAAUGUGAUUUUAGAUUGGUACAACAAAGAAUGAUGUUGGCGCCUAUCGGAGUGCCUGUGGUGUCAUGAAGUCCGUUGUUCUGCUUUUUAUGGUUGGAGUUGGGUAUUUGUACUAUGAGUAAUAUAUGUAAAUUUGCAUAUAUCUAAGUGUCUAUGUUUGUAUUAUAUAUAUAUUGAAUAUUGUAAAAUUAUAUAGAUUUAAGUUUGAUUUUUCACAGAUCUAAAUAUUGUAAAUUUAUUGAUGAUGUUAAGUGUUUUAUAUUUAUUUGUGACUUUAUUAA